AAAUGGAUGGGCUUAAGCCCAAAUGAAAGGAGGUGUACGGGUGAAAACCGGGGGUGCAUGAAGGAAACAAUGUUUUUAUUUUAUUUUAUUUUAUUUAUUUUAUUUUUGUUUUUGGCUUAUUAGUGAGAGCUGCAGGCCCAAGGCCUUUCCAUUUUUCGGUUCAUGAGACCCUUAGGGAUUCCUCCCAUUCUUACCAAAAGAAGCAAAGGUGUUCAAACGGCCACCGCACGCGACGCCACUGCCUCCGCCAAAACCGACUUCCGCCAGCUGCAGUCCGAGCCAUCGCCGGUACGCUGACCACCGCCGCUCACCGCUGGAGUCCUCGCUCCCUUUUUUUCCUUCCCCUCGCGUGCGUGAGGCCGUCUCUGCCAAGCCGGCUGCCGCGAAGAGUCCUCCGCCUGAUCUCUAAUGUCGCCGGCAGUUCCCAGGCGUUUCCAAGGCCGCCACUGGCCGCAGCGUCAGAUCUUGCCCCCUCCCCGCUAUUGAUGGUGAUUUGGGAAUGGGUUGGGUUAUUUGGUUGUGUUGUGGUUAGUUUAUGGGUGAUGGUGUGAGAGGUUUUGGAGAUGAUUGAUGAAUAGGGGUUUUCGGAGUUAACAGAGAAUGGAGAGGGAUUGGGUGGAGGCUAUUCGGUGAGUGAGUGAGUUUCCCUCUUGGCUUGGGUAAUUGAAAAAUGGUAAGAAUGGGUGAUAUGGUGACGGGAAAUGUAUUGGAGGUAGUGAGUGAGUUGUGAAGAACAAAUGGUUGGGAUGAUUACGGGUGAGAGGAGCAGAGGGGUUGGAGAAUGGUCUGAGAAGUGUCUGAUAGAUGAUGGAUGUUGGCCGUGGGGUGUCGGUAGUGGUGUUUUACUGUCUGUGUGAAAAAAAAUGAAAAUGGCUUUGGUUUCUUUGACGGUUGAAAGAUGAAGUUGAAGUUGGGUGGUUACGGGUAUAUCCGUGGGCGUGUGAAUAUGGGGAUGAGUGUUUGGCUGUGUUUGAUGGGUGCUAGAGGUGAGGUUGGGCCGUGGUAAGUCUUGAACGAGUGUUGGAGAUCUAGGGUGUUGGUGACGAAAAUGAUAAAGAAGAUGGACAGUAGUCAAAGGUUGAGGUUUUUUAUGGUUACAGUGGGCAGAGGUGGUUACGGGUGAAGGGAGUCAAGGAGUUUGAGGUUGAUAGCCAUGGGUGUUCCCAGUAGCCGUGUGUGUAUUGGGGAUGGUCGUGAAAGGCAAAGGCCUUGGUUGUGGCACUGGGUGAAUGAUGAUUGAAGAGUAAAAUGAAGAAGAUCCCCCCAGUAACUGUGUGUGAAUAUGGAGGAUGGAUCCUCCUCAGCAGUGGACAAUGCUUCAAGAUGAAGAAGCCUCCCUCCGUUAUUGCUUUUUUUUCGUCUCCGGAAAUUAACCGCCCCCUCUGCUCUCUCCCAAAACCAUUUAAAAACACUUUGCAUCUUCAUCACCUAUUCCCUGAUCCGGGAUCUUACCUCGUCUUUUUCUUUGGUGAGACAAAAGAAAAAACAUUGUUCAACUAAUUCCGUAAUCCGAAACUUCGUUUCCCUUUUCUUCU